ACAAACUUGGUCAUUUAGAGGAAGUAAAAGUCGUAACAAGGUUUCCGUAGGUGAACCUGCGGAAGGAUCAUUAUUGAAUGUACUCAAGGAGUUGAUGCUGACUUGGUUCAAAAUUUGAACUUUUGUAUGUGCUCACUCUUUUGAUUUACUUUACCUUUCCACCUGUGCACCUUUGUAGACCAUAGUAACAACUCUCUUCUGAAAAUGAAGGAUGGAGAGGAUUGCAUUGUAACAAAUGUAUUCUCUUUGGUUCUAUGGGCCUACUCUUAUUCAAACUCUUGUAUGUUAAAGAAUGUCAUCUUUAUUGGUUUCUUAUGAACCUUUAAAUCUAUACAACUUUCAGCAACGGAUCUCUUGGCUCUCGCAUCGAUGAAGAACGCAGC
rnacentral:misc_RNA from 1 species